rnacentral:rRNA from 1 species
UUCCUACGGGAGGCAGCAGUGGGGAAUUUUGCGCAAUGGGCGAAAGCCUGACGCAGCAACGCCGCGUGGAGGAUGAAGGUCCUCGGAUCGUAAACUCCUGUCAGUGGGGACGAAAGCCCGCGAGGGAUUGACUGUACCCGCUGAGGAAGCCACGGCUAACUCCGUGCCAGCAGCCGCGGUAAUACGGAGGUGGCAAGCGUUGUUCGGAAUUACUGGGCGUAAAGGGCGCGUAGGCGGCAUUGCAAGUCAGAUGUGAAAGCCCCGGGCUUAACUCGGGAAUUGCAUCUGAAACUGCUUUGCUUGAGUCCUGGAGGGGGUAGUGGAAUUCCCAGUGUAGCGGUGAAAUGCGUAGAUAUUGGGAGGAACACCGGUGGCGAAGGCGGCUACCUGGACAGUGACUGACGCUGAUGCGCGAAAGCUAGGGUAGCAAACGGGAUUAGAUACCCUUGUAGUC